rnacentral:rRNA from 1 species
GUCUCGUCCCUUUUGUUUGCGAUGUACUCCUGGCCUUAACUAGAUGGGCCAUGCCUCCAGAACUGUUAAUUAAAAGAAAUUAAAGUUCUCAAAUCAAGUCUACACUCUAUAUACAUUAGCAUGGGAUAACAUUAGAGUAUUUUGGUCCUAUUACGUUGGCUUUCGGGAAUCAUCAAUAUGGACACUCUAGGCAAUUGUAUUUCAUAGUCAAAGGUGAAAUUCUUUUUUUUAUGAAAGAUGAAAAAAUGCAAAACCAUUUUCCAAGGAUGUUUACAUAAAUCAAGAAUGAAUGUUGGGGACUCAAAGAUUAUCAGAUAUUGUCCUAGUAUCAAACAUUAACGAUGCCAACCAGGGAUCAGUGGAUGAUAUUUUUAGGACUCUGCUGGCACCUUACGAGAAAUCAAAGUAUUUGGGUUUUGUGGGAAGUAUGGUAACAAUAUUAAAACUUAAAGGAAUUGAUGAUAGUGAACCACUAAGAGUGGUAACUACAACAUAAUUUGACUCAAGAUGGGGAAACUUACCAGAUUCAGACAUUGUAAGGACUAACAUAUUGAGAGCUCUUGCUUGAUUCUUUGGGUAGUGGUGCAUGUCCAUUGUUAGUUUGUGAAACGAUUAGUCUUGUUAAUUCCAAAAACAUAUGUGACCUUAGCCCACUAAUAGAUAUAUAUAGGUAUCCCUUCACGACUAGCUUCUUAGAGGGACUAUGACUUUUUAGGCCGUGGAAGUUUGAGGAAGUAACAGGGUUGUAAUGACCAUAGAUAUUUUAGGUUGCACGCUCACUACACUAAUCUAUAAACCAAGUUUAUAGCCUUGACAGAUAGGUCUGGGUAAUCCUUUAAAUUUCACAAUUAUGGGGAUAGAUUUUUUCAAUUCUUGGUUUUCAAUAAGGAAUUCCUAGUAAUCAUUAGCCAUGAUCUUGCAUUGACUACAUACCUUGUCUUUGUACACAUCGCCCAUCGCUCCUACCAAUUGAAUAAUCUAGUGAAAUAUUCAGAUCAUGGUCGGUAUAUUGAAUGCGACGUUGUGAGAAAUCCAAUGAAACUUAUCAUUUAGAGGUAGUGAAAGUCGUAAUAAGGUAUCUGUAGGUGAACCUACUGAAG